AGGUGGGGAGGUAGCGGUUCCCUGUACUCGAAAUCCGCUUUAUGCGAGACUUAAUUCCUUUGUUGAGGACGUAUUUUUGUGAAGUCUGCCCGAAGCACGUAGUGUUUGAAGAUUUCGGUCCUAUGCAAUAUGAACCCAUGAACCAUGUCAGGUCCUGACGGAAGCAGCAUUAAGUGGAUCCUCAUAUGUGCCGUAGGGUAGCCGAGAUUUAGCUGUCGACUUCGGUAACGUUUAUGAUAUGCGUUCGAUACAAAGGUGCAUGG
rnacentral:SRP_RNA from 1 species